rnacentral:rRNA from 1 species
GUGGGGAAUUUUGGACAAUGGGCGCAAGCCUGAUCCAGCAAUGCCGCGUGCAGGAAGAAGGCCUUCGGGUUGUAAACUGCUUUUGUACGGAACGAAACGGUCCUGGCUAAUACCCGGGGCUAAUGACGGUACCGUAAGAAUAAGCACCGGCUAACUACGUGCCAGCAGCCGCGGUAAUACGUAGGGUGCGAGCGUUAAUCGGAAUUACUGGGCGUAAAGCGUGCGCAGGCGGUGCUGUAAGACAGGCGUGAAAUCCCCGGGCUCAACCUGGGAAUUGCGCUUGUGACUGCAGUGCUGGAGUGCGGCAGAGGGGGAUGGAAGUCCGCGUGUAGCAGUGAAAUGCGUAGAUAUGCGGAGGAACACCGAUGGCGAAGGCAAUCCCCUGGGCCUGCACUGACGCUCAUGCACGAAAGCGUGGGGAGCAAACAGGAUUAGAAACCCCGGUAGUCC